rnacentral:rRNA from 1 species
GACGAACGCUGGCGGCAUGCCUAACACAUGCAAGUCGAACGGAGUUCUUUUAUUAGAUCCCUUCGGGGUGAAGAUACUAGAACUUAGUGGCGGACGGGUGAGUAACGCGUGGGUAACCUGCCCUUUUGUGGGGAACAACUUCGAGAAAUUGAAGCUAAUACCGCAUACUCUUCUUUUAUCGCAUGAUGAGAGAAGGAAAGAUGGCCUCUGAAUAUGCUAUCGCAAAAGGAUGGACCCGCGUCUGAUUAGCUAGUUGGAAGGGCAACGGCCUACCAAGGCGACGAUCAGUAGCCGGCCUGAGAGGGUGAACGGCCACACUGGAACUGAGACACGGUCCAG